rnacentral:rRNA from 1 species
UACGGAGGGUGCUAGCGUUGUUCGGAAUGACUGGGCGUAAAGGCGCGUAGGCAGCUCGUGAAGUCGGGUGUGAAAGCCCGGGGCUCAACCCCGGAACGGCAUCCGAUACUGGCGGGCUUGAGACCGGGAGAGGAGGGUGGAAUACCCAGUGUAGAGGUGAAAUUCGUAGAUAUUGGGUGGAACACCGGUGGCGAAAGCGGCUCUCUGGCCCGGAUCUGACGCUGAGGCGCGAAAGCGUGGGGAGCAAACAGG